GGGCCCGCACAAGCGGUGGAGUAUGUGGUUUAAUUCGAUGCAACGCGAAGAACCUUACCUAGGCUUAAAUGUAGAUUGACGUAUUGGGAAACCAGUAUUUCUUCGGACAAUCUACAAGGUGCUGCAUGGUUGUCGUCAGCUCGUGCCGUGAGGUGUCGGGUUAAGUCCCAUAACGAGCGCAACCCCUAUCAUUAGUUGCUAACAUUUAGUUGAGGACUCUAAUGAAACUGCCCGCGUAAGCGGUGAGGAAGGUGGGGAUGACGUCAAAUCAUCACGGCCCUUACGUCUAGGGCUACACACGUGCUACAAUGGUAACUACAGAGGGAAGCUAUCUGGUGACAGUGAGCAAAUCCUUAAAAGUUAUCCCAGUUCGGAUUGAAGUCUGCAACUCGACUUCAUGAAGUUGGAAUCGCUAGUAAUCGGAUAUC
rnacentral:rRNA from 1 species